rnacentral:rRNA from 1 species
CUUGCUACAGAUGCUGCUAGCGGCGGACGGGUGAGUAAUGAAUAAGUAAUUUGCCUACUUGUUGGGAUAACCCUAGGAAACUAGAGCUAAUACCGAAUAAGCUUGUCUUUUCACAUGUUAAGACAAGGAAAGGAUUUUUCGCAAGUAGAGAGGCUUAUUUCUGAUUAGCUUGUUGGUAAGGUAAUGGCUUACCAAGGCUACGAUCAGUAGCUGGUCUGAGAAGAUGAUCAGCCACACUGGGACUGAGACACGGCCCAGACUCC